rnacentral:rRNA from 1 species
UACGGAGGGUGCAAGCGUUAUCCGGAUUUACUGGGUUUAAAGGGUGUGUAGGCGGACAUUUAAGUCAGGGGUGAAAUCCCGAGGCUCAACCUCGGAACUGCCUUUGAUACUAUUUGUCUUGAAUGUUGUUGAGGUGGGCGGAACGGGUCAUGUAGCGGUGAAAUGCAUAGAUAUGACCCGGAACACCGAUUGCGAACGGCAGCCCGCUAAGCAACUAUUGACGCUGAGGCACGAAAGCGUGGGAUCAAACAGG